GUAUUCGCUUCGGCAGUACAUAUACUAAAAUUGGAACGAUACAGAAAAGAUUAGAAUGGCCCCUGCGAAAUGAUCAUCAUCAUCAUCAUUACAGGCUAUACAGUCCA